rnacentral:rRNA from 1 species
UACGAAGGUGGCAAGCGUUGCUCGGAAUCACUGGGCGUAAAGGGCGCGUAGGCGGGGAGGUAAGUCGGGUGUGAAAUCCCUCGGCCCAACUGAGGAACUGCGCCCGAGACUGCUUCUCUUGAGUCCCGGAGAGGAAGAUGGAAUUCCCGGUGUAGCGGUGAAAUGUGUAGAGAUCGGGAGGAACACCAGUGGCGAAGGCGGCUCACUGGCUCGAUACUGACGCUGAGGUGCGAAAGCGUGGGGAGCAAACAGG